UACGUAGGGUGCAGGCGUUGUCCGGAAUUAUUGGGCGUAAAGAGCUCGUAGGCGGUCUGUUACGUCGGCUGUGAAAACCUGGGGCUCAACCCCGGGCCUGCAGCCGAUACGGGCAGACUAGAAUUCGGUAGGGGAGACUGGAAUUCCUGGUGUAGCGGUGAAAUGCGCAGAUAUCAGGAGGAACACCGGUGGCGAAGGCGGGUCUCUGGGCCGAUAUUGACGCUGAGGAGCGAAAGCGUGGGGAGCGAACAGG
rnacentral:rRNA from 1 species